AUUGAACGCUGGCGGCGUGCUUUACACAUGCAAGUCGAACGGUAACAGGCCGCAAGGCGCUGACGAGUGGCGAAUGGGUGAGUAAUGCAUCGGAACGUGCCCAGUCGUGGGAGAUAACUGCUCGAAAGAGCAGCUAAUACCGCAUACGAUCUAUGGAUGAAAGCGGGGGACCGUAAGGCCUCGCGCGAUUGGAGCGGCCGAUGUCAGAUUAGGUAGUUGGUGGGGUAAAGGCUCACCAAGCCAACGAUCUGUAGCUGGUCUGAGAGGACGACCAGCCACACUGGGACUGAGACACGGCCCAGACUCCUACGGGAGGCAGCAGUGGGGAAUUUUGGACAAUGGGGGCAACCCUGAUCCAGCAAUGCCGCGUGCAGGAAGAAGGCCUUCGGGUUGUAAACUGCUUUUGUACGGAACGAAACGGUCUGGGUUAAUACCCUGGGCUAAUGACGGUACCGUAAGAAUAAGCACCGGCUAACUACGUGCCAGCCGCCGCCGUAAAAC
rnacentral:rRNA from 1 species